CAGCUGCGAGACUUGGUGUGAAUUGCAGGACACAUUGAGCACUGAUUUUUCGAACGCACAUUGCGGCCUCGGGUCCUUCCCGGGGCCUCGCCUGUCUGAGGGUCGGAUGUGAAAUAUGUAAGGGUCGCUUUUGUGCGUUCCCACGUGGCAGCAUCGGUGGCACACCUCGCCACCGUCUGCCGAAGAGAAACGUCCUCUUGGUCGGGGAGUUGCCGUGUGCAAGUCUGAGAGCUUAGCAGGCACGGCAUUCCAAGUUACCAGGACGAGAAGAUGAACUGCAAGAUGUCGACCUCAGAUCAGACGAGACAACCCGCUGAAUUUAA
rnacentral:rRNA from 1 species